UUAUAGUUGUCAGAAAAUAAAAGCAAAUGGCAGGGGUUUGAAACCUCUUCAGAUAGAAAGAGAAAAAUUUAAGUAAAUGGGAACACCUGCCUUCAUAAAAAAAGUAAAAACAUUCUCAUUUGAAUACACAUGCAUCUACAUAUUUUUAUGGAAUAUCUUUAUUCCGUAUUCUUAAUUCCAAAAUACAAAAGCUUAUACUUUUCUUACUCUCACUUCUCACUUUCUCUCACUAGUUACUGCUGCAACGCCACUGUCCUCCACUUCUUCGUAACUUCUUCGCCGCUUAUUUGUCACUUCGUUAACUUCAGCUACCUCAUCAGAUUGAAUAUGGAUCAUAUUUUGAGGUACUUUCCACUCCUCUCGCGUCUUUGAAUUUCCUCAGCUCAGUCUUCACAGAUUCAAUCUCGGAAUGAAAAGCUCUGGAGAAAUUACAGGUAGAAAGCAUCAUCAAUCUUUAUGAUGCCUCAAACAUUUGGCGUGUUCUUUUGAUUUAAAGAGAUCAAAAUGCCCAUGAAGCGAUUCUGGAAGUUCUUAAAGGAGUUGUUCGGAAGCUUGUCUUUGGAGAAUGGACAUCCCGAACGAAACUUCAUGACAGGCUACAUGAGCCUAUCUUUUGUUGUGUUUCGUUGAUAAACGGAUACUGAUAGUCUACUCUCACUUGUAAUAUCGAGUAAUAUUGCGUAGGGGUCACUACACAGUGGUCUAUCUUCAUCUCUAGUUGAUAUUCGGAUACAUGUUGCUAAUGGCGAAUCUAGAGUAUAACUUAAGGUGUCGCAGGAACCUAGUACAUUUUACCCAAACCUUGUAUAAAAUCAACUAAAUAUCUAUAAAUAUAUAACUGCAGUCCAAUUAUUAACGCAUA